rnacentral:rRNA from 1 species
AGUGAACGCUGGCGGUAGGCCUAACACAUGCAAGUCGAACGGCAGCACAGUAAGAGCUUGCUCUUACGGGUGGCGAGUGGCGGACGGGUGAGGAAUACAUCGGAAUCUACUUUUUCGUGGGGGAUAACGUAGGGAAACUUACGCUAAUACCGCAUACGACCUACGGGUGAAAUCAGGGGAUCUUCGGACCUUGCGCGAUUGAAUUAGCCGAUGUCGGAUUAGCUAGUUGGCGGGGUAAAGGCCCACCAAGGCGACGAUCCGUAGCUGGUCUGAGAGGAUGAUCAGCCACACUGGAACUGAGACACGGUCCAGACUCCUACGGGAGGCAGCAGUGGGGAAUAUUGGACAAUGGGCGCAAGCCUGAUCCAGCCAUACCGCGUGGGUGAAGAAGGCCUUCGGGUUGUAAAGCCCUUUUGUUGGGAAAGAAAAGCAGCAGGUUAAUACCCCGCUGUUCUGACGGUACCCAAAGAAUAAGCACCGGCUAACUUCGUG